AAGGGGUGUUUUGAACACCAAGAACUG
rnacentral:tRNA from 1 species